rnacentral:rRNA from 1 species
ACAAAAGGUACGCGGUGCGAAAGCGAGUCUUAAUAGGGCGUCAAGUCUGUCGGAUUAGACCCGAAACCGAGUGAUCUAGCCAUGAGCAGGCUGAAGGUGGGGUAACACCCACUGAAGGGCCGAACCCGAUAAUGUUGAAAAAUUACGGGAUGACUUGUGGUUAGGGGUGAAAGGCCAAGCAAACUCGGAAAUAGCUGGUUCUCCGCGAA